rnacentral:rRNA from 1 species
AUUGAACGCUGGCGGCAGGCCUAACACAUGCAAGUCGAACGAGUGGCGGACGGGUGAGUAAUGUCUGGGAAACUGCCUGAUGGAGGGGGAUAACUACUGGAAACGGUAGCUAAUACCGCAUACCAUCGGAUGUGCCCAGAUGGGAUUAGCUAGUAGGUGGGGUACAGGCGCACCUAGGCGCCGAUCCCUAGCUGGUCUGAGAGGAUGACCAGCCACACUAGAACGGAGCCACGGUCCAGACUCCUACGAGAGGCAGCAGUGGGGAAUAUUGCACGAUGGGCGCAAGCCGGAUGCAGCCAUGCCGCGUGUAUGAAGAAGGCCUUCGGGUUGUAAAGUACUUUCAGCGGGGAGGCGUUACCCGCAGAAGAAGCACCGACUAACUCCGUGCCAGCAGCCGCGGUAAUUC